rnacentral:rRNA from 1 species
CACGUAAGAAUUUGCCUCUAGGAGGGGACGAACAGCUGGAAACGGGACUGCUAAUAACCCCACUAUGCUUUCGUAGUGAAAUAGGAUUUUUCCGUCCUAGAGAGAAGCUUGCGGGCUGAUUAGCUUGUUUGGUGAGGUAAUGGCUUACCAAGGCGACGAUCAGUAUCUGGUUUGAGAGGAUGAUCAGACACACUGGAACUGAGACACGGUCCAGACUCCUGCGGGAGGGCAGCAGUGGGGAAGUUUCCGUCAAUGGGCGAAAGACCUGACGGAGCAAUCUCGCGUGAGGGAGUGACUGCC